rnacentral:rRNA from 1 species
AGGAUAAACGCUGGCGGCGUGCCUAACACAUGCAAGUCGAACGUCUCUUUCUUCGGGAAGAGGAGUGGCGGACGGGUGAGGAACACGUGGGAACCUGCCCUUCAGUGAGGAAUACCGGCGAGAAAUCGCCGACAAGACCGCAUAGCCCUCUCUGGUGAGAGCCAGAGAAGGAAAGCCUCGCAAGAGGCGCUGGAGGAGGGGCCUGCGUCCGAUUAGCUAGUUGGUGGGGUAAGAGCCUACCAAGGCGUCGAUCGGUAGCUGGUCUGAGAGGACGAUCAGCCACACUGGGAUUGAGAACGGCCCAGACUCCUACGGGGGGCAGCAGUGAGGAAUUUUCGGCAAUGGGGGAAACCCUGACCGAGCAACGCCGCGUGCGGGACGACGGCCUUCGGGUUGUAAACUGCUUUCUCUGGGACGAGCAAGGACGGUACCAGAGGAAGAAGCCCCGGCUAACUACGCGCCAGCAGCCGC